rnacentral:rRNA from 1 species
GAUGAACGCUAGCGGCAGGCCUAAUACAUGCAAGUCGGACGGGAUUCAGGAGCUUGCUUCUGAUGAGAGUGGCGCACGGGUGCGUAACACGUAUGUAACCUACCUUUAUCAGGGGGAUAGCCUCUCGAAAGAGAGAUUAAGCCCGCAUAAAAUCACAGCACAGCAUUGUGUAAUGAUCAAAUAUUUAUAGGAUGAAGAUGGGCAUGCGGAACAUUAGCUAGAUGGCGGGGUAACGGCCCACCAUGGCGACGAUGUUUAGGGGAUCUGAGAGGAUGGCCCCCCACACUGGUACUGAGACACGGACCAGACUCCUACGGGAGGCAGCAGUAAGGAAUAUUGGUCAAUGGGCGGAAGCCUGAACCAGCCAUGCCGCGUGCAGGAAGACGGCCCUACGGGUUGUAAACUGCUUUUAUACGGGAAUAAACCCAGAUACGUGUAUCUGGCUGAAUGUACUGUAAGAAUAAGGAUCGGCUAACUCCGUG